rnacentral:rRNA from 1 species
AUACGGAGGAUGCGGGCGUUAUCCGGAUUUAUUGGGUUUAAAGGGUGCGUAGGCGGAAAGGUAAGUCAGCGGUGAAACUCAGGUGCUCAACACCUGCCGUGCCGUUGAUACUGUUUUUCUGGAAUGCGGAUGCUGUGGGAGGAAUGUGUGGUGUAGCGGUGAAAUGCAUAGAUAUCACACAGAACACCGAUUGCGAAGGCAUCUCACAAAUCCGUGAUUGACGCUGAGGCACGAAAGUGUGGGGAUCGAACAGGAUUAGAUACCCUGGUAGUCCACACUGUAAACGAUGAUAACUCGCUGUUGGCGAUAUACAGUCAGUGGCCAAGCGAAAGCGAUAAGUUAUCCACCUGGGGAGUACGUCGGCAACGAUGAAACUCAAAUGAAUUGACGGGG